AAGGCCUCGGCUCUCAGGCCCAAGCCUGGGGGGUGUCUGACCGUCUGCUGCCUUCCCACACGGGCCAGGGAGGAGCAUCUCACGAGACCCUGCUGUGGGCCCUCCAGGCUCCUGAAGAGAAAUGCAAGAACUCUGGGAGAAGGUCCCCCACGUCCCGCACCCGCUCACCCCAGCAGCACCCCGGGUGUGCCCAGAAGCCCCAGAGUUUGCUCUUGUUGCUGCCUGAGCCCUGGUGGCACGACUCGAGUCAGCCCUUUGAAGACGUCUCCAGAUUGAACUAGAAGAUUCACGAACUCCAGUGAACACAGAAGAGGAAAGAACAUCCCAGGGGAGGAGAAGCAGGAGCCAAGAUCUGGGUCUGGGUCGGGCUCCCUGUGUGGCAGGGAAGGUCCUGGGUCAUCAGCGCAGCAGCCCAAGAGAGGAGCUGGGUGUGCCUCUGCCUGGACUAAGGGGCAGCCGGGCUUGGGUGGGCGGGGUCUUGAGGAUGCAUAGGAGUUUGCGAGGAACAGCAGAAACAGGAACCGAUGGAAAAGAGGAAAGACCCAGAGGUAAGGCACUUGCUCAUUGCUGUGCAGACCCUGAGGGCAGGGGCCACGUGCCGCCAAGUGCGUUCUCAGCACACAGCAGGGCUCCGGAAACAUCUGACCAAAAAUGCGAGCGAGGCCAAGGUUGGUUCUCAGGCCCGCUGCACCGUGGAUGUCUUCGGCUUCUAGCUGUGUUUAUGCACGCCUUCCAGAAAAGCAGAAUAAAUAAAAAACCCAGCGAAGUCAACGAUACGGAGACAGGGAUCCAAACACUCAGACAAGCGGUCUGCAGCAGACUGGCCCAGGCACUCGCACACCUGCCUGCAUCACAGCGAGCAGGGGCCUAGGGAGCACCCGACGGUGAGGGAGCCACGAGCAUGAGCCUCUUUUGAGACAAUCUGCAACAGUGAGGAUGGGUGCGGAAACACAUCCCAGGCGCCGCUCAGGUGCACAACGGAGGGAAACGCCAGCCUUAGUGGGCUGGUGACUGUCGGAUGGCGGCCUUCCCAACCAAGUCCACGGACCGCUU